rnacentral:rRNA from 1 species
GCCGCGUGAGCGAAGAAGGCCUUCGGGUCGUAAAGCUAUGUCCAGGGGGAAGAACAAAUGACGGUACCCCUGUACGAGCCCCGGCUAACUACGUGCCAGCAGCCGCGGUAACACGUAGGGGGCAAGCGUUGUCCGGAAUUACUGGGCGUAAAGCGCGCGUAGGCGGCCUAAUAAGUCAGUGGUGAAAACCGGCGGCUCAACCGCAGGCUUGCCUCUGAAACUGUAAGGCUUGAGGACAGGAGAGGAGAGUGGAAUUCCCAGUGUAGCGGUGAAAUGCGUAGAUAUUGGGAGGAACACCAGUGGCGAAGGCGACUCUCUGGCCUG